ACCUUGUCUACAUUAUUUUUCUUUUGUGAUUUUCCUUUAUUUCCAAAGGAAAUAGGAAUAGCAUGCAUGCGGUUACUUUCAAAAUUUUUCUGGAAUAUUAUAUUUAAAAUUUUCAUUUAAAUGUAUAAAAUUUCAUUUAAAAGAAAUCAUAAUUAUUUAGAUUUGUAUAAAGAUAUUUUAAUAACAUAAUUAAUAUUUUAGAACAAUUUAGAAAAAUUACGGGAUUAUGCUGCCAAUACAUUUGCAGAAGAUUUUGGAUACAAAGAAUAUUACUCAAUACCAGUCAUGGAAUUUCAUGGGAAAAGGGAUGGAAGAGGUUAAGAGGAUAGGACCAAGUCUGGAACUCGAGAACAGUGACUUCUAGCCGGGGAUUUAGCUCAGUGGUUCCACUGCCUGCCUCACAAGCGCAAGGACCUGAGUUCGAUCCCCGAGUAUACCGUUUGGUCUGAAGUCUGCUGUUGAAAGAGGAUUAUCUGCCGUUUUCCACACAUUUAGCCCUAAAACCUCAAGUUCCACGAUAAAUGUCUCAGAUGAAACAAGGUACGCUAUUUUCCACCACGCCGCUCUCCACAACAGAAUUUCCAACAUAUGUCACCUGUGCGGUGCCAACUUCAACAUCAACCAGAGACGCUUUGUUAUUGUCAGCCAAGAGUCAUCCAAAAUGGACACAAAAAAAGAAAGAAAUGGUCCAACACCUCUCCACCUGGCCACACAGGCUUGCUCAUUGGAGAGCACCAUCUGCCUACUUUCUUUCAAAGCUGAUUACACACUUUCUGAAAAAAGAGGCUGGAUACCGAUCCACUUUGCCGCUUUCUGUGAUAAUAUCUGCAUCAUCAUUGUUCUCUACAGGAAGGAUCCUAGUUUGCUAGAAGCGAAGGCAACCGCUGAGAACCAGUGUACUCCACUGUUACUUGCGGCCACUUCAGGAGCUCUGGGCACUAUUCAAUACCUAUUUUCUCUUGGGGCUAACUGGAGAAAAACAGACACUAAAGGAAACAAUAUAAUUCAUUUGUGUCAGUGCCAACCUUUCGUACAGAGGUACUUAAGCAUAUAAUAGAAUUAAACAUUCCUGAACUCCCAGUUUGGAAAACUUUGGUAGGUGAGUAUAGAACAUACAAUUUCUUUGUAAAUAAAUGUUUUUAUUAUCAUAAAAUAAAUAAAUGUGCGUUAAAAUCAGAAACCAAAAUACAAAUGAUAAAGAACUAUAUUUUGUGUACAAAAGUAGCUUUUUCUGAGUUACAAUAAAGAAUCUAUGAUAAUUUUA